rnacentral:rRNA from 1 species
UACGUAGGGGGCAAGCGUUGUCCGGAUUUAUUGGGCGUAAAGAGCUCGUAGGUGGUUCGGUAAGUCGGAUGUGAAAUCUCCAGGCUCAACCUGGAGGGGUCAUUCGAUACUGCCGUGACUAGAGGUCGGUAGGGGAGUGUGGAAUUCCUGGUGGAGCGGUGAAAUGCGUAGAUAUCAAGAGGAACACCUGAGGCGAAGGCGGGUUGCUAGGCUGACACUGACGCUGAGGCGCGAAGCCAGGGAGCGAAACGGG